GUGGGGAAUAUUGGACAAUGGGGGGAACCCUGAUCCAGCCAUGCCGCGUGUGUGAAGAAGGCCUUUUGGUUGUAAAGCACUUUAAGCGAGGAGGAGGCUACCGAGAUUAAUACUCUUGGAUAGUGGACGUUACUCGCAGAAUAAGCACCGGCUAACUCUGUGCCAGCAGCCGCGGUAAUACAGAGGGUGCAAGCGUUAAUCGGAUUUACUGGGCGUAAAGCGCGCGUAGGUGGCCAAUUAAGUCAAAUGUGAAAUCCCCGAGCUUAACUUGGGAAUUGCAUUCGAUACUGGUUGGCUAGAGUAUGGGAGAGGAUUGUAGAAUUCCAGGUGUAGCGGUGAAAAGCGUAGAGAUCUGGAGGAAUACCGAUGGCGAAGGCAGCCAUCUGGCCUAAUACUGACACUGAGGUGCGAAAGCAUGGGGAGCAAACAGGAUUAUAUACCCGAGUAGUCC
rnacentral:rRNA from 1 species